GACGGAGGAUGCAAGCGUUUAUCCGGAAUGAUUGGGCGUAAAGCGUCCGCAGGUGGCAGUUCAAGUCUGCUGUCAAAGACCGGGGCUUAACUUCGGAAAGGCAGUGGAAACUGAACAGCUAGAGUAUGGUAGGGGCAGAGGGAAUUCCUGGUGUAGCGGUGAAAUGCGUAGAGAUCAGGAAGAACAUCGGUGGCGAAGGCGCUCUGCUGGACCAUAACUGACACUCAGGGACGAAAGCUAGGGGAGCGAACAGG
rnacentral:rRNA from 1 species